rnacentral:tRNA from 1 species
UGCCCGGGUUGGACAAUGGUGGUCUACGUGGCUCGAACCCACGUUUCUGAAAAGAUAUCCAGGUUCGAUUCCUGGUCCGGGCGU